UGUCGUAUAGUGUAAUGGUUAGCACAGAAGACUUUGACUCUUCUAGUUUAGGUUCGAGUCCUAAUUCGACUACCA
rnacentral:tRNA from 1 species